rnacentral:lncRNA from 1 species
GCUAAACAGUGUUAGCAGGUACUGUCAGCAGGCCUCAGGCAGAAGCAGACAAGAAGGGUAAGAAGUAAAGGAGAGGGAGGAAAGGAGUUGAAAGAAUAAGAGAAUGAGGUGAAAGCUGAAGUCCCCACAGAGAGGAGAUCUCUGAAGAAAUUGCUGAUGAAAGUCCAACAGGCUCUUCCAGUUUGUCUGGUCGGUCACAUUUGCUGAAACCUGGAGGAAUUGUUAGUGGAAGCUCAACAGGCCUGACUCAGUCUGACUGUCCAUUCUUCUGGAAGCUGCAGAGAAAAGAAACCUGGAAACCUUAUAUGCUGACAAAAAGGGACACAAUUGGAUAUGAUGGUUAUUUUACCAAGGUUUUGAAAUGUCGUGCUUUCAAAUAUAAACAGACUGCUUUAAGGAAUCGAAGUUGACUUAUAGAGCCAAUAAAAGCCCUGCAGGAAAGCUGGCCUCAUACUUUGUCUACACAGUCUCUGUACAGGUUUCCUGACCUGUGCUUCCAAGUUGUCUGAGGAGCCUUAUGAAGAGGCUCACGUGGUGAGGAACGGAAAUUUACUGAAUAAGCUCAGAGGGAGAUUCUCCAGCUCCUUCAGAUGACUGCAGCCCUGGCCAACAAUCUGACUAUAAUUUCAUGAGAGAGUCAGAGAGGGAACCAUCCAGCUAAGCCACUCUCAGAUUCCUGACCCACAGAAAUUACGUGAGACUAAUGCUUGUUUAAAGCUGCUAAGUUUUAGGAUAAUUCAUUAUGUAGCAUUAGAUAACUAAUAUUAGUUCUUCUCUGUAUUUAAAUUUUUUCCCCCAAAAAAGAGAAAAAGCAUCUCUAUGUAAA